rnacentral:rRNA from 1 species
AGGGUUUGAUCAUGGCUCAGGACGAACGCUGGCGGCGUGCUUAACACAUGCAAGUCUAAGGAGAAAGUUCCUUCGGGAGCAAGUAAACUGGCGAACGGGUGAGUAACGCGUAGGUAACCUACCCUUAAGCUCGGGAUAACCCACCGAAAGGUGAGCUAAUACCGGAUAAUAUCUUUCCUCAUAAGGGGUAAAGAUCAAAGGUGGCUUCGGCUAUCACUUAUGGAUGGGCCUGCGUCUGAUUAGCCAGUUGGUAAGGUAAUGGCUUACCAAGGCAAUGAUCAGUAGCUGGUCUGAGAGGGCGAUCAGCCACAUUGGGACUGAGAUACGGCCCAGACUCCUACGGGAGGCAGCAGUGGGGAAUUUCGCGCAAUGAGCGAAAGCUUGACGCAGCAACGCCGCGUGAUCGAAGAAGCUCUGCGGAGUGUAAAGAUCUGUCAUAGGGGAAGAUAAGUCCCGUUAUUAACACCAUCGGGAUGUGACGGUACCCUAUAAGAAAGCCCCGGCUAACUUCGUGCCAGCAGCCGCGGUAAUACGAGGGGGGCAAGCGUUGUCCGGAUUUAUUGG